rnacentral:rRNA from 1 species
CCAAUAGCGUAUAUUAAAGUUGCUGCAGUUAAAAAGCUCGUAGUUGAAUUUCGGGACCAAUAUGUCGGUCGUGCUUCGGUACGUACUGUCAUUAUUGGUUUCUCCCUUCUGAAGAACCUUGAUGUCAUUAAUUUGGUGUCUUGGGGAAUCAGGACUGUUACUUUGAAAAAAUUAGAGUGUUUAAAGCAGGCUCGCGCUUGAAUACAUUAGCAUGGAAUAAUGAAAUAGGACGUUUGAUUCUAUUUUGUUGGUUUCUAGGAUCGACGUAAUGAUUAAUAGUGAUAGUUGGGGGCAUUAGUAUUCAAUUGUCAGAGGUGAAAUUCUUGGAUUUAUUGAAGACUAACUACUGCGAAAGCAUUUGCCAAGGAUGUUUUCAUUAAUCAAGAACGAAAGUUAGGGGAUCGAAGACGAUCAGAUACCGUCGUAGUCUUAACCAUAAACUAUGCCGACUAGGGAUCGGAUGAUGUUAAUUUUUUAAUGACUCAUUCGGCGCCUUACG